ACUGAGACGAGUAGUUUGAGAAAUAGCAAUGGCCAUCCUGAAUUUCACACCUUCCUCAAUGUUCCCGGUGACCAUAGAUUCAGCUCGAGGAACAAGAGUUAGAGGUUCUGUCAUCAAAAUGCAGAAGAGUCUCAAUACUACGGAUCCUCCUGCCUCACCUGGUUUCAGCUUAUGUACGUGCGGAAGAAAGCAUUUCCUAGGAGAAGCUACGACGCCGUUUCUUCCAAUCUCUCCUUCCUACGCUGCUCCAUCCACAGCUCCAAACUCAACGGUUGCUUGUAGUGAACUUUGCUGCUAAAUUAUAGAAGAGGAAUACAAUACCUAUUUUAUCUAAUUAUCUAUAUCUUCAUUUAUAUCAGGAAGUAUUGAACCAAUUGCGUCCUCCUAAGCCUGACUGGUAUUUUGAGCUCUAUGGUUAUUUUAGGAGCGCAGGGAUGGAAAGAUAUGAGAAAGAGGUUAGUGACUUCAUGAGAUUUGCAUGCAUUCUUUCUUUGUUUCUAACGUUUCAUUCUUCUUCUUUUGUCAGAUUGCUGUUUACAAGAGGAAACUCUUUGCAAAUUUGGUGGGAAAAGCAGAAACUGUUUUGGAAAUUGGUAUUGGAGCUGGUCCGAACAUCAAGUACUACAACAAUAUUCCAAACGUCUCUGUUCUUGGUGUGGAUCCAAACCCUAAGAUGGAAAGUCACGCACGCAAAUCCGCUAUAGAAGCAGGAGUGAAAUCCGAAAACUUCAAGUUCAUUCACGCGGUAAUGGCCUUCUUUAUAUUUUGUCGUGAACAAACGCGAAUCAAACAAGCAGAAAUCACGAAAACUUAGAGAAAAUGAAAUUCAGUCGAAGCAAAUACUGUUUUAUUUUAGGGUUUGUAUAUUGAUUGUGUGGAUUAAUUAUUCCGUGGUUUUAUUUGUGUGGACCAGGUCGCAGAAUCUAUGCCAUUAGAAGAUGCAUCAGUUGAUGCAGUUGUUGGAAGUCUUGUGAUGUGUUCUGUCACGGAUAUCCCUCAAACACUCAAAGGUAAUUGUUUAAGUCCCUUCACAAUCACAUCUUACUUCAGAUGUCAGAUCAAAAGAAAACAAAGCUCAUCAAAUAGUUUAGUACAUGUACAGAGAUAAAGCGGAUCCUAAAACCAGGAGGGCUUUACCUCUUCGUGGAACAUGUUGCAGCAGAAGGUAUCGCUUUCGACUCAUGAGGAAUCCAUCAUAAUCCAUUAACGCAUAAAUGACAUAAUCCAAAACGUUUUGUUUUGUUUUGUUUGUUUUGUGAUGAGCAGAUGGAACAUUUCUAAGGAUGGUGCAGAAUGUUUUGGAUCCAUUACAACAAGUUGUAGCCGACGGAUGUCAUCUAACGAGGAACACAGAAGACUACCUUUUAGAAGCUGGGUUCAAAGGUGGUGUAGAUAUCAACAAGGUCUCUCUUUCUGCCUUUUACCACUUAAGCCCUCAUCUUUAUGGAGUUGCUUAUAAUUAAAAAAAAAAUAGCUGGGAAAUAUCUGAACUCAGCAGCUCAUCUUUGGACUGAACACAAGGCUUUCUUUCACGUUUGAAAAUAUCAAGUUUUCAACUCUGUUUCUCUAUAUCUGCUUUUGAUCCUAAACUAUCGACUCAAUCCAUUGAGUCUAAGCGAUUAUGAUGUUGUGUUUGUAACUGAAUAAUGCUUAUAAGCAGAAAAUAAUGUAAAAUUAUCAGAAAGUUUGGAACUCUUUCUUCUACUAAUAAAAAAAGGUAAUUGAUCAACUUUGAGACGUCGGACGGAACUAUAUCUUAAUUAUCUUCACUCUUAUCCUUUUUCUUAUUAUGAGUAAUUGAGAUUUUAAACUUAGCAAUGGCAACCCUCUAUUCUGUCACCUUUUCUUUCUUCUUCUUUUUUGAGUGAAUGUAAAAUUUAUUCAUCACAAAACUCUUUUUAACAAUAAAUGCUUCAAAAGUUUGGAAGACUUGUCACCUUCUUCACUGGUCAAUACAUAUGAAAUCUUCGAAAAGAGACGUUGCAUAAAGAGAUUACACAUGUGGGCGGAACUAUAUCUUCAUCUUGUAUACUCUUAUUGUUUGUUUUGAUGAUGAGCAAUCGAGGUUUUAAAUUUCGCAAUGGCAACCCUCCACUUGUCACCUUCUUCACUGGUCAAUACAUAUGAAAUCUUCGAAAAGAGACGUUGCAUAAAGAGAUUACACAUGUGGGCGGAACUAUAUCUUCAUCUUGUAUACUCUUAUUGUUUGUUUUGAUGAUGAGCAAUCGAGGUUUUAAAUUUCGCAAUGGCAACCCUCCACUUGUCACCUUUUUCACUGGUCAAUACAUCGUUGUAAAUGAUAUGUAGGUUCUUACGUAUUUAAAUUCUCUUUCUGUGCUAGAGAUUUAUGUGUUUUUUGUUUCAAGACAACAAAAAAAAAAUGUCCAGAAAGGUUGAUAAGAUGUGUUUUUAGUGGUUUCUGACCUCUAUAGAUAUAUAAUUUUAUUUGAAUUGAACUAUGUGGUUUUUAUUGGAUGAAAAUGUGUAUUUUUAAAGUAUUUUAAUCUAUUAUCGAGUUUUUCGGGCACUAAGUUUUUUUAGAAAAAAUGAUCAAAUAUUUCCUCUCUAGUAAUUCCUUCCAAUUACUAUAUCUAACAGCCAAGAUAAUUACUCACACUAAACCUAAGAGACUAGAUAUGCAUUAAAUCCAGCAGUCCAUCUCUGAACUGAAUUCUAGAAUUCUAGGAAUGUUUCGGGCAUCUGAACUCGUUAAAGUUUUUGCAGCCAGUUACUCUGAGUUGCCAACUCUGUUCCAAUUAUAUAUUUUUACUUGUCAUUUGUGAAGCAAAAUCAGUGCAAUCAGAGAGUUUAGAGAGAAAGCUUAAAUUUGACAAAUGAUGCUUUCCAUCUUCAAAUUCGAACAUUUAGCUGUUAAUUCUACUGGUGUUUCAGAAAAAAAAAAGAGAGGAAAAGCUGUUAAUUCUGCUGGUAAAUAUUUCUAUUUUAGGGAUUGGAAUACUAAGUUCGGGUGUCACCGACUGCAAAAAGGAUAUUAAAAAUAAAACAGUUUUAUUCUGAUCCGAUAAAAUCAUGGAUUUCAAUCCAAAACUUCUAAAAUUCAAAAAGAAAAGGUUCUAGGACAGUUAUUAUUUAGCUUCAGUUGUGAAAAUCGAACUCAAGAAAAUAGUAUAUAACGAGGCUUUAUCCUAUAACAACCUACUAGGUAACGCGUCGGCUAUAUGUAAGUUCUCAUAAGAUUACCAUCGUUAUUAUUGUUUGACUACUGUAUAUGGCAUGUAAAUCCUUGGCCUCUCUUGUUAGUAGGAAUAUCUAUAAUUAGAAACUACACAAAAGAAAAUCCAAAAGAAAUGUCAUUUUCAAAAGUAAAGAGAUUAAGGGGUACACGUUAAGUUAAAAAAAAAAGCAUGGCUUUUCACUGCUUUCAGAAGAUAUGAUGUGGACUUCUAAUAGCAUCUUUAAUUCAUAUUUAUACUAGGUGUUUAAUUAUCGUACUAAUAUUUAUUAAUAAAUAUAUUAUUAAUUUAAUGACCUACAAAAUAAUUUAUUGUCAUACACUUACAAAAUCAGUAACAAAUUUUACAUAAAACUAUUUAUAAAUGAUGCAGUCUUUCACUAAAACACACAUAUCUUUUAUAUAUAUAUUAUAAAAUUAGAAACAAUCAUGUUAUGUAAAUAUUGUAGAAAUCUAUUUAUAUACAAUUUUGGUUGUGUUUUUUAUAAUUUUAAAUUUUAUUUUCAUUAAUUAUCAAUAUUUUUAAUUAUGUUUAUCUAAACAUAUCUAAUAUAUAAAAUUAUAAUUAUUAGACUAUUUAAUGAUUUAUUAAUUUAGAAUUCAAUUUUUACACGAUAAAUACAUGUUCAGAAAUUUAUCUACUGAAAAAAUAUUAUUUUUUGGAUAUUUAUACAAUAGACAUGAUUUUUUAUUGUCAAGAAACGUUAUUUUAUUUUUGAAUAUGUUAUUAUAUAUAAUUCAUGUUUAAUGGUUAAUUUAUAAAAUUAUAUUCAAAUAAAUCUAACUAUUCAUUAAAGAUAACAACAUAUUUAACCAGUCUAAUUUUUAACGUAAGAGCUUGAAUGCGAAAAAUCACUUCAAAAAUAAUAGUAUAGAUGAUUAAUUUAUAAAAUUAUAUUGAAAUAAAUCUAACUAUUCAUUAAGGAUAACAACAUAUUUAGCCAGUCUCACUUUUAACGUGAGAGCUUGAAUGCAAAAAUCACUCCACAAAUAAUAAUAUAGAUUUGUUUUAAUUACAAUAAGAUUACUAUUUUUAUAUUUAUAGAAAUAAAUAUUAUUUUAUUUUUACUCUAAAUAUAAAAAAAAUUUAUUUAAAAAUUUUAUCAGAUUAAAUUUUACUUUUAUUAUAAAAUUCUUUUAUAUUUUAAAUAACAAAUACAUUGAAAAUAAUCUAAGUCUAAAACAACCAAAGGAUAGAAACAAAAGAUUACAAAUGCGAAUUUAAUAAUAUUAACAAUACAUACUAAUAAUAUAAAAUAAUAUCAAGACUAAAGAAUGGAAAUACGUUAUAAUCGAAUUUUAGACAAAAUUAAAGGGUAAACAAAGGAAAAUAUAUAUAAAAAAAAAAACUAUUUUCACACAUUGAAACGGGUAAACACACUAAUUUUAAGUAAAACACAUAUAACUUUUUCUCUAACUGAUGGAUCGAUUUCGAACCGGUGAUAUUAGAAAGCUAACUCAGUUUUUAUCUUUGUAUCAAAAUUUGAGUUUCAUUCAUAGGUGUGAAAUCUUGCAAUCAAUUGCUAAACUUAUGAUGUAUAUGUAAAGUUAUGCAUCUCCAGUUGUCUUUUUACAUUUAAUUUGACUUCUAUUGUUCCAAGUAGAUCUAAAACCCUGUAAAAACUUGAUAAUAUACUAAAAGACUCUUAAACACAUACUUUGAUUCAAAACAUAGAUUAGAAACCGGUAAAAACACAUAUAUAUCACUUAAGUCGUUCUAUAAUUGGUUAUUGCAUACAUCUAGGUACCCCCGUUAUCACUUGGAAAUUCAAAAAGCAACAAACCGUAAGUCACAGUGGAAAACAUAAGCAUGGCUUUGGCUACUUGUCAACUUCUUUGGUUGGCUCAGCUGCUGAAAGUAUUCAAGGGUUCAUGAUCAUGGCUCCAGCAGAGUUGUUUUCUAAUAACAAAUCUGUUAAUCAUAUUGCUUCCAACCAGUUCAUUCACAAGCAGACUAAGCACAUAUAGAGAUCAAUUGGCACACAGUGAAAAAAAAUGGCAAAAACUGGGGAUUUUGAAGUUGUUUCAUGUCUCUAGCUCCAAUCAACAUGAUGAUAAGACAUUACAUCUGGGUUUCUUUCACUCCAUUGGAUGUCUAUAUCAAAUCUCUUUAAGCCUAUUCCACUUUAAUCGGUUUGAGGCAUAUUGAUACUAUGUAUCCGAUUGUUAAAUCUGUCUUUACCACUAGUUUAUUAUGGUUUAGUGUCUUUUUUUUGCUUAAACCACUUAUGUAUAAAUAAUGAUCGAUAGAACCCAUUUCUGAGUACCGAGAAAUAUUCAAUCACAAAUUCAUCUUCUAAACUAAUGAUUUUGAUUUUUUAUAAAAUCUUAGAUAAGAUUUUAAAUAUUAAUCGUUCCCACUGAGACUUAAGGUGAACCCACAAGCCUAGCCUAUGUUUCCAGACAAAUAUUUCACGACUAAGUCUGCAGUUAUAAAAUAUAACUAGAUCUCGACCCGCACAACCGUGCGGGUGUUUAUUUUCAUUUUAAAAAAUUAUACAUAUAUAUAUAUAUGUGUAUAUAUUUAUUUAUAUCUAAUAUAUUAAAACAGAAGCCAUGACUUCUUUUCAUGUGUGUUUUUUUUAGUUUGGACCAUUUCUAAAAAAUAUCAUAUUUUACGUAAGUUCAUUAUUAUAUCUUUUAAUAUCUUUAUCUUUUCAUUUGAAAUACAAAUGAAUAUAUUUAAAAUGUUCUAACAAAAUCUUGUUAAAAUCUUCAUAGAAUCUUUUUAAAUAUUUCUAGCUUUGUUAAUCUUCAACGAAUUAUAUCCUAUGUUAAUCUUCAACGGGUUAAUAUUUCUACCUGUGAGAUCUAGCUAUGUUCAAAUGGUCGAGAUCACGGUAAAAUUGAUUGCUUUUCAUUUCUACAUUAGUAUAUAUUAAUAUAUAUGAGUGUCUAUCAUUUUCUAAAACAUAAUAAUUUUAUCGUAUAUUUUUUGUAUUGAAUUGGUUGUUUCCAGAUUAUUUUUUUUUUUAAAGAUUGAUAGUUAUUUAGUUCCUAUAAUGUAGUAGACAUAUUAUUUAGUUCCUAUAAUAUAGAAACUGAGUUAUUUAGAUCUAUAAUAAUGAUAAUAUUAGAAUUAAAUGUAACAUGAUUUUCUAGUAAUAGGUCAAUUAGGUCCAUUUUUAAAAAAAUCACACAUGAAUCAAGGUUGUGACUUCUAUUUUAAUAUAUAAGAUUUCUUAUUUUGAAUAAAUUUUCUCUGUGCACAUAGCCACAAACAUGUCAAGUGGAAUCAAGUAAAAUUGGUCCCUACAUAUCGUCGAACGCUUGACACUUGAAUGAGCAGACGGAGCCACACAAUUAAAAUGUAGUUUUCCCUCGUAGGACGAGCCACAAACUAGUCAUUCUCUUCAAAACGUCACUUGUUUUUUUUUGUUGAAAAUUCCAAAAACGUCCCUUGUUGAGCCAUUAUCUAUUCGUUACUACCAAAAAAUAUUAGUACAUAUUGUAUUUUAUUUCUGUAUUAUUUAAAUAUUCGAUUCUCAAUUAUUGUAUUUCAUUUGAUACAAAAUGACCAUUAAGUAUACAUCUGAAAGAGGAUAUAUUUUAUUUCAUUAAGCGCUUCCUUAAAAUGGCAUCGAUCGUUGUAUUAUAGAAUGUGAACGAGAAUCAGUUAUUAAUUUCCGGUAGUGAUACUGACCUACACUAAUGAGAAAGACUUUUUGUGUCUUCCGGAAAUGACUUCUUGUAUGAACUGAACUGAUCAGUGGUAUGUGUUUGUCUAUUACUUAAUCUCUCCCGGUCUUUAAAAAAAUGCGUAAUUGAUUCCACGCGUACCACUAAGAAAAUGCAUACAUAUGCAGUUGCGCCCAUACACAUUGUGUUAAGAAUUUAAUUGGUUAUAUGUAUGUUUUAAUUUAUAAGUUAUAUUAGUACCUUGCAUGGGACAGUCCACCUAAUGUCUUAUAAAUUUGUUACAAUGAAAAAAAAAUUACUUAUAUCUUUCUCGGUCUUUUAAAAUUGCGUAGUUGAUGCCACGCGUUCCACUUGGAAAAUGCAUACAUAUGCGGUUGCCAUACAAAUUGUUUGAAGAACUUAAUAGGUCAUAUGUAUGUUUUAAUUUAUAAGUUUUUUUUGCGCAACAUAGAAAUCUUAUAGAAGCUAAACGAGUUGGCCCAAGGGGGCAAUACAAAGGUGGGCUUUUGCUAAUGUGUCCGCUAGCCCAUUAGAGGCCCGAGGGCAAAAUGAAAAGCGACAGACUAAAAACAGAGAAGAGAUCGAAUCGAUGUCCGACAACACUCCGUAGAAUUCUGUCAGUCUUCGCUUCGUGGUGAUCGCCGUGACGAGCGCUUGAGCAUCUGAUUGGAGCCAGAUCGAGGUGAAGCCGAGUGAGAAGGCGUGAAGUAGAGAAUCUCUAAUGGCUAGAGCUUCUGCAAGAAGUGGUGAUGCAACGUGAUGGUGAGAUCUUCCUCCUCUCCCUACCUCUUGGUGUUUGUCUCUGAAGACCCAUCCUGAUCCUGCAACUACAGAGUCAGCUUUCCAGGCACCAUCCGUAUUGCAGAUGAUUGUCGUGUCAGAGAGAUCCAUCGACUGUGGCGGAGGAUGCGAUUUGGAGAGCGUGGGAGCCGUCGGGGAUUGCGCGAGUUCCCAUUCUUGCGCUGCCUUGAGACCUUUUGUUAUCAGAGCUGCAGGGGACGAUCGUCGAUUCUCAAAAGUGAGCUGGUUCCGGCUGAUCCACAGGAACCAGCAGAUCCAAGGGAGCAGGUUGAUUGUGAUCCCCGUUGGAGGGAGAUUGCGUUUGGUGGUGGAGAGGAUAAGAGCUUCGACGAAAGAUAACGGUUGUGUUGGGUCGAAACCUCCGUCCCAAAGAACUAGGUCCCAAACUUCCUGUGCGAAUUCACAAUUGAAAAACAAGUGCAAAGUGGUCUCUAUCUCACCGCCUCUGGCACAAUGUGUGUUAGCCAGUAGACCUCUCCUUUGGAGGUUUUCGCCCGUUGGUAGUGCAUUAUGAAUGAUCUUCCACAAAAAGAGCUUAAGUUUGGGCGAGAGACGAGGGGUCCAGACCAGUUUCCUCCAGUUUAAGGUAUCAUCGUGAUCAAACGGAGAUGGAGGGCUUUGCAGAGACUGGGUUGCUGCGAAGUAACCAGACUUGGUGGUGUACUCUCCCGUAUUAUUCAGAGGCCAGAUAAGAGCGUCUUCACCACCUAAAGUGCUUGGUUUUAUCUUGAGGAUGAGGUGAGACAAUUCCGGUAAAAUAUCCUUAAUACGGGCCACGUUCCAUUCCCUUGUUUCAGUAGAGAGGAGAUCAGCAACUAGGAGAUCCUGAUCAUGUUCUGUAGAAGGCCCGAAUGGUCGUAGAUUAUUUUAUAUGUAUGUUUUAAUUUAUAAGUUAUAUUAGUACCUUGCAUGGGACAGUCCACCUAAUGUCUUAUAAAUUUGUUACAAUGAAAAAAAAAUUACUUAUAUCUUUCUCGGUCUUUUAAAAUUGCGUAGUUGAUGCCACGCGUUCCACUUGGAAAAUGCAUACAUAUGCGGUUGCCAUACAAAUUGUUUGAAGAACUUAAUAGGUCAUAUGUAUGUUUUAAUUUAUAAGUUUUUUUUGCGCAACAUAGAAAUCUUAUAGAAGCUAAACGAGUUGGCCCAAGGGGGCAAUACAAAGGUGGGCUUUUGCUAAUGUGUCCGCUAGCCCAUUAGAGGCCCGAGGGCAAAAUGAAAAGCGACAGACUAAAAACAGAGAAGAGAUCGAAUCGAUGUCCGACAACACUCCGUAGAAUUCUGUCAGUCUUCGCUUCGUGGUGAUCGCCGUGACGAGCGCUUGAGCAUCUGAUUGGAGCCAGAUCGAGGUGAAGCCGAGUGAGAAGGCGUGAAGUAGAGAAUCUCUAAUGGCUAGAGCUUCUGCAAGAAGUGGUGAUGCAACGUGAUGAUGAGAUCUUCCUCCUCUCCCUACCUCUUGGUGUUUGUCUCUGAAGACCCAUCCUGAUCCUGCAACUACAGAGUCAGCUUUCCAGGCACCAUCCGUAUUGCAGAUGAUUGUCGUGUCAGAGAGAUCCAUCGACUGUGGCGGAGGAUGCGAUUUGGAGAGCGUGGGAGCCGUCGGGGAUUGCGCGAGUUCCCAUUCUUGCGCUGCCUUGAGACCUUUUGUUAUCAGAGCUGCAGGGGACGAUCGUCGAUUCUCAAAAGUGAGCUGGUUCCGGCUGAUCCACAGGAACCAGCAGAUCCAAGGGAGCAGGUUGAUUGUGAUCCCCGUUGGAGGGAGAUUGCGUUUGGUGGUGGAGAGGAUAAGAGCUUCGACGAAAGAUAACGGUUGUGUUGGGUCGAAACCUCCGUCCCAAAGAACUAGGUCCCAAACUUCCUGUGCGAAUUCACAAUUGAAAAACAAGUGCAAAGUGGUCUCUAUCUCACCGCCUCUGGCACAAUGUGUGUUAGCCAGUAGACCUCUCCUUUGGAGGUUUUCGCCCGUUGGUAGUGCAUUAUGAAUGAUCUUCCACAAAAAGAGCUUAAGUUUGGGCGAGAGACGAGGGGUCCAGACCAGUUUCCUCCAGUUUAAGGUAUCAUCGUGAUCAAACGGAGAUGGAGGGCUUUGCAGAGACUGGGUUGCUGCGAAGUAACCAGACUUGGUGGUGUACUCUCCCGUAUUAUUCAGAGGCCAGAUAAGAGCGUCUUCACCACCUAAAGUGCUUGGUUUUAUCUUGAGGAUGAGGUGAGACAAUUCCGGUAAAAUAUCCUUAAUACGGGCCACGUUCCAUUCCCUUGUUUCAGUAGAGAGGAGAUCAGCAACUAGGAGAUCCUGAUCAUGUUCUGUAGAAGGCCCGAAUGGUCGUAGAUUAUUCUUAGGGUCUAUCCAAGAAUCUGUCCAAACUCUGGUUGAGGUACCAUUACCAAUGGCCUUACCAAGAUGUGAAAUCAGUAGGUCCCUUCCCCAGACAAUUCCUUUCCAUCCAUGAGAGGAGCUCUUGCUAGCUUGAGUAGAUAGAAAGGAUUGAUGAUGGCAAUAUUUGCCAAGGAGAACUCUAGAUAAGAGGCAGUCAGGUUUUUUCAAAAUUCUCCACGCUAUCUUCCCUAGUAAGGCCUGGUUGAACAGUCUAACAUUCCAGAACCCUAGGCCUCCCUGACUUUUAGGUUUUGUGAGCUUGUCCCAAGCAAGCCAGCAUAUUUUCCUGUCUCCUUUGUUGUUGUCCCACCAGAAUCGGGUCAAAACUGAUUGGAUUUGGCUACAUAAACCUGCAGGUAGCUGGAAGCAUGACAUUGCAAAGGACGGGAUGGGAGAGAGGACAGACUGAAGCAUUGUCAUCUUGCCCGCUGUAGAUAGGAACCUUGUCGACCAACUCAUCGCUUUCUGCUUCAUCCGGUCUACAAUGGAGGCAAAGAGAUCCUUCUUCUUCCUCCCAAAAUGUUCAGGUAAACCUAAAUACUUUCCUACUCCCCCCUCUUUGUUUAUUCCUAGCUGCAAUUUGACUCUAGCGCGAACUAGUUAUAUCAGUACUUUGCAUGGGACAGUCCACCUGAUGUCUUAUAAAUUUGUUACAAUGGAAAAAAGUUACUUAAUCUUCUCGGUCUUUUAAAAUUGCUAUAGUUGAUGCCACGCGGUCCACUCAGAAAUAUGCAUACAUAUACAGUUGCGAGUUGCCAUACAAAUUGUUUAACGAAUUUGUAUGUUUUCAUUUAUAAGUUUUAUAUUAGUACCUUUCAUGGCACAGUCCACAUAAUAUCUUAUAAUUUUUUUGUUUAUAAUGGAAAAAUUACUUAAUAUUUUUCGAUAUUUUCACAAUGCGUAAUUGAUGCCAUGCAUUAUACUCAGGAAUAUUUAUUAUACACGAAAAAGAUGCUCUACACAAAUUAAGAUCCUAGAAAGUUCCAAACAAAUUAAAAAAAAUAAUAUAUAAAAUAAAGAUGCAUGCUAUGGAAAGACGGUUAUAUAUACGCUAUGCUGUACAUUGUACAAUGAAGACAUUUGAGAAUCAAACAGAAACGAGUAGUUUGAGAAAUAGCAAUGGCAAUCCUGAAUUUCACACCAGCCUCGAGGUUCCCGGUGACCAUAGAUUCAGCUCGGAGAACAAGAGUUAGAGGUUCUGUCAUCAAAAUGCAGAAGAGCCUCAUUACUACGGAUCCUCAUCCUCCUGCCUCACCUGGUUUCAGCUUAUGUACGUGCGGAAGAAAGCAUUUCCUAGGAGAAGCUACGACGCCGUUUCUUCCAAUCUCUCCUAUCUACGCUGCUCCAUCCACUGCUCCAUCCACAGCUCAAAACUCAACG
rnacentral:lncRNA from 1 species